UACGAAGGGUGCAAACGUUGCUCGGAAUUAUUGGGCGUAAAGCGCACGUAGGCGGCUUGGCAAGUCGGAUGUGAAAUCCCUCGGCUCAACCAAGGAAGUGCAUCCGAAACUGCUGAGCUUGAGUACUUAAGAGGAUUGCGGAAUUCCCGGUGUAGAGGUGAAAUUCGUAGAUAUUCGCAAGAACACCAGUGGCGAAGGCGGCUCACUGGCCCGGUACUGACGCUGAGGUGCGAAAGCGUGGGGAGCAAAGCAGG
rnacentral:rRNA from 1 species